rnacentral:tRNA from 1 species
GUCUCCGUAGCUCAGUGGAUAGAGCAGCGGCCUCCGGAGCCGUGCGCGCAGGUUCGAGUCCUGUCGGGGACG